GGUGCAACAUUGCCUGCAGUUACUAAUGAUGGGGCCGCUGCAAGGGCAGCAUUAGCAGCUGCAAUGAACUUGCAACACAACCUAGCCAAGAUUCAAGCUAGCGCAAUACCUGAACACUAUGAAGCAGAAUUGGAAAUUAACGAUUUCCCACAGAAUGCUCGAUGGAAGGUAACCCAUAAGGAGACCUUAGGCCCAAUUUCGGAGUGGACUGGAGCUGCUAUUACUACUAGGGGACAGUUCUUUCCACCUGGCAAAAUUGCUGGACCUGGAG
rnacentral:misc_RNA from 1 species